rnacentral:rRNA from 1 species
UACGUAGGGGGCAAGCGUUGUCCGGAAUCAUUGGGCGUAAAGCGCGUGUAGGCGGCCCGGUAAGUCCGCUGUGAAAGUCCAGGGCUCAACCCUGGGAUGCCGGUGGAUACUGUCGGGCUCGAGUCCGGAAGAGGCGAGUGGAAUUCCUGGUGUAGCGGUGGAAUGCGUAGAGAUCCGGAGGAAGACCGGUGGCGAAGGCGGUCUGCUGGGCAGUACCUGACGCUGAGGCGCGAAAGCGUGGGGAGCAAACAGG